rnacentral:rRNA from 1 species
GAUGAACGCUUGCGGCGUGCCUAAUACAUGCAAGUCGAACGAACUAAUUUAAUAGUGAGUGGCGAACGGGUGAGUAAUACAUAAGUAACCUGCCCUAGACAGGGGGAUAACUACUGGAAACGGUAGCUAAAACCGCAUAGGUAUGGGAAUCGCAUGAUUGCCAUAUUAAAAGUGCUAAGGCACUGGUAGAGGAUGGACUUAUGGCGCAUUAGCUAGUUGGUAGGGUAAAGGCUUACCAAGGGGACGAUGCGUAGCCGACCUGAGAGGGUGACCGGCCACACUGGGACUGAGACACGGCCCAGACUCCUACGGGAGGCAGCAGUGAGGAAUAUUGGUCAAUGGACGAGAGUCUGAACCAGCCAAGUCGCGUGAAGGAUGACUGCCCUAUGGGUUGUAAACUUCUUUUAUGUGGGAAUAAAAAAGGGAACGUGUUCCCUAUUGCAUGUACCACUAUGAAUAAGCAUCGGCUAACUCCGUGCCAGCCGCCGCAGUAAUAC